UACGUAGGCAGCGAGCGUUGUUCGGAGUUACUGGGCGUAAAGGGUGUGUAGGCGGUUAUUUAAGUUUGGGGUGAAAUCUCCCGGCUCAACCGGGAGGGUGCGCCGAAUACUGAAUGACUUGGAGUGCGGGAGAGGUGAGUGGAAUUCCUGGUGUAGCGGUGAAAUGCGUAGAUAUCAGGAGGAACACCAGUGGCGAAGGCGGUCUGCUGGGCAGUUGCUGACACUGAUGCGCGACAGCGUGGGGAGCAAACAGG
rnacentral:rRNA from 1 species